CCAGACUCCUACGGGAGGCAGCAGUGGGGAAUAUUGCACAAUGGGCGCAAGCCUGAUGCAGCCAUGCCGCGUGUAUGAAGAAGGCCUUCGGGUUGUAAAGUACUUUCAGUCGGGAGGAAGGUGUCAAGGUUAAUAACCUUGGCAAUUGACGUUACCGACAGAAGAAGCACCGGCUAACUCCGUGCCAGCAGCCGCGGUAAUACGGAGGGUGCAAGCGUUAAUCGGAAUUACUGGGCGUAAAGCGCACGCAGGCGGUCUGUCAAGUCGGAUGUGAAAUCCCCGGGCUCAACCUGGGAACUGCAUUCGAAACUGGCAGGCUGGAGUCUUGUAGAGGGGGGUAGAAUUCCAGGUGUAGCGGUGAAAUGCGUAGAGAUCUGGAGGAAUACCGGUGGCGAAGGCGGCCCCCUGGACAAAGACUGACGCUCAGGUGCGAAAGCGUGGGGAGCAAACAGGAUUAGAUACCCCCGUAAC
rnacentral:rRNA from 1 species